UACGGAGGGUGCAAGCGUUAUCCGGAUUUACUGGGUUUAAAGGGUGCGUAGGCGGCUCUUUAAGUCAGUGGUGAAAGCCUAGUGCUUAACACUAGAACUGCCAUUGAAACUGAAGAGCUUGAAUCAAGGAGAGGUAAGCAGAAUUUAUAGUGUAGCAGUGAAAUGCUUAGAUACUAUAAGGAAUACCAACAGCGAAGGCAGCUUACUGGCCUUGUAUUGACGCUGAGGCACGAAAGCGUGGGGAGCAAACAGG
rnacentral:rRNA from 1 species